AUUUUGUUUUCGUUUUUUUUCUUUUCUUGCUUUUUUUUGCUUUUUUUUUUUUUAAAGAUAAAAUACAUAUGUGAUAAUAUAGAUGUUCUACGCAUAUAUAACGUGUGGACAUGCACACAUACGCACAUAUAUAUCUAUAUAUAUACUACAUAUGCCACGUGUUAUCCACAAAAAAAGACACUGUAAGCGUUUGUUUUAGUGUUUUGUAAAAUAAAUUACAAAAAUGAGUAGUUUGAAUAAAAAAAAAAAAAAAAAAAAGUUGUUAUCAGAUGAUGAAAACGACAGUGCAAAUGAAGAAACUAAUAAAGAAGUCGAAGCCAAUGAGAUGAAGGAGGCAGAAAAUAACAUUGAAAAUGGCACUAGAUUAACAAAUGACGACAGAACAGAAGAAGAAAAAAAUAUUAACAACAAUAAUGAAGAUAUAGAAACAGAGACAAAUCUUACUAAUAAAGAAGAAGUUUUCGGAGAAGAAAACGAAAACAAUAAAAAUGAUAAUGACACCAAUACAAAAAAAAAUAAGAAGAUGAAAAAAUUAAAAAAAUUGAAAAAGGUAGUAAGCGAAGAUGACGAUAGUGACAAAAACAAUAAAGAAAAUGGUUCGGAGGUAGAAGAUACAAAUGAAUUGAUAAAAAAUAAUGAGAAAAAAAAAAUUUUUUCAAAAAGUGAUUUUAUAGUAAAAAAGAAAAGUAGUAGUAAUAUCGUUAAGAAGAAAGAACAGAAAAAUAGUGUGGGUAGUAUAAAAUCUGCUAAAAAAGGCAAAAGUGACGGAAGUGAAGUAGAAGAAGAGGUAGAAUAUGAUGACGAGAAUGAAUCAGAGGAAGAAGAAUAUGCUGACGAAUCAGAGGAUGAAAUAAAAGAAGAAUACGACGAAGAAGAUGAUGGUGAAAUGCAUGUCAAAUUAAAAAAUAAAAAUAAACAAACAAAAAAGGAACUAAAAAAAAAAAAAAAAACUAAUCUACGUGAAAAUGAAGAAGAUGAUUUGUUUAAUGAAGAUGAAAAUGAAGAUAAUGAAAAUUUUAAAAAUAAAUUAAAAACGGAAAGAAAUAAAAAAAGAAAAAGAAAUGUUGCAAACUCUAAACUAAUGGAAGAUAUUAAUAUAAAUGAAGAUAAAGUAAAAUUAAAAUCAAUUUAUAUGUCCUUUUUAACUAAAAAAUAUAAUAUUGAGGAAUAUAUCAUUGAAAGUUUAAAAGUGAUAAUACCAUUAAAUAAACAAAAUAUUUUUCUAGGUAAAGAAAAUAUUAUUAUUGAUAAUACAACUAAAGAAGAAGUCAAAAAUUCAGAAAUUUUUUGGUUUGAAAAAUUAACAACGAGUAGAAGAAAGAGUAUCAUUAAUUGUUUUACUACUUUAAGUAAACUAGGGAUAGUACUCACGGAUGAUAGUAGCACAUAUAAUAAGAAUAACAUUACAGAGGAAGCAAAAUGUAAUGGUCACGUUGAUAAUGAUAACAAUGUAAACAACGAUAACAAUGUAAACAACGAUAACAAUGUAAACAACAAUAACAAUGUAAACAACGAUAACAAUGUAAACAACGAUAACAAUGUGAACAACGAUAACAAUGUGAACAACGAUAACAAUGUGAAUAACGAUAACAAUGUGAACAACGAUAACAAUGUGAACAACAAUAACAAUGUAAACAACGAUAACAGUAGCUGUAACAACGACGGUAAUAAUGAUUGUGAUAACCAGAGCGAAAACAAAAAUGUACCGGAUAAUGACAAUGAUUUGCCUAAUGCAGACAAAAGCAAUAUAAAACAUAGUGCAAAUAUGUCAUGUGAAAAUAAAAAACAAGAACAAUUAAAUUUUAAUAAAAUAUUCAGUAAUUAUCAUAAAACUAACUUUAAAGAUUUAAUAAUAAUUGAUUAUGUAGUUAACAUAUGUAAUGAACAAAUAAAACAAAUAAAAGAAUAUAUUGCUUUUUUAAAAAAAAAUAUCUACGAAUUGUCCAUUAUUGAAAAUAAUAAUAUAAUAAAAGAAUUAAAUAUCUUAGAACCAAUAAAAAGAAGAGAAAUAUUUUUUUAUUUAAAUUUAUGUAUAUCU
rnacentral:lncRNA from 1 species